UGGAAGUAAAAGUCGUAACAAGGUUUCCGUAGGUGAACCUGCGGAAGGAUCAUUACAGAAUGAAAAGUGCUUAACUGCAUUUUUUCUUACACAUGUGUUUUUCUUUUUUUGAAAACUUUGCUUUGGUAGGCCUUCUAUAUGGGGCCUGCCAGAGAUUAAACUCAACCAAAUUUUAUUUAAUGUCAACCGAUUAUUUAAUAGUCAAAACUUUCAACAACGGAUCUCUUGGUUCUCGCAUCGAUGAAGAACGCAGCGAAAUGCGAUAAGUAAUAUGAAUUGCAGAUAUUCGUGAAUCAUCGAAUCUUUGAACGCACAUUGCGCCCUUUGGUAUUCCAAAGGGCAUGCCUGUUUGAGCGUCAUUUCUCCCUCAAACCCUCGGGUUUGGUGUUGAGCGAUACGCUGGGUUUGCUUGAAAGAAAGGCGGAGUAUAAACUAAUGGAUAGGUUUUUUCCACUCAUUGGUACAAACUCCAAAACUUCUUCCAAAUUCGACCUCAAAUCAGGUAGGACUACCCGCUGAACUUAAGCAUAUC
rnacentral:misc_RNA from 1 species